AAGGGGAUGAACCCAAGGCACGGAGACAGUGAGGGAAAUGACCUCCAUCAUUCAUCGGCUGGGAGUGAAGGCUGCAUCAUAAAAGCUCUUCCUCAUGGCCAAGCCUCUUAGGGGUUUUCCCAGCCUGCCUUGUGGGGAUGACAAACACCUCCAGCCAGAGGGAGGAGCUCAUGUGAAGAAGAUUUGGAGCAGAAGCUGCAGAUCCCUAAUGAAAAACAUCUCUCUGGGGUUUCCCUGGUGGCGCAGUGGUUGAGAAUCCGCCUGCCAAUGCAGGGGACACGGGUUCGAGCCCUGGUCCGGGAAGAUCCCACAGACCACGGAGCAACUAAGCCCACGUACCACAACUACUGAAGCCUGCGUGCCUAGAGCCUGUGCUCCGCAACAAGAGAAGCCACCACCAUGAGAAGCCCCCGCACUGCAACGAAGAGUAGCCCCCGCUUGCCGCAACUAGGGAAAGCCUGCACUCAGCAAUGAAGACACAACG